GUCCUUUAGAGAUAAUUGAAGGUUUAACCUGCCCACUGAAAAAUUUUAAAUGGCCGCAGUAAGUUGACUGUGCAAAGGUAGCAUAAUCAAUAGUUUUUUAAUUGAAAGCUUGUAUGAAUGGUUGGACGAGAUAAAAUCUGUCUUUAAUUAAUAGAUAAAAUUUAAUAUUUAAGUUAAAAAGCUUAAAUAAUAUUAAAAGACGAGAAGACCCUAUAGAUCUUUAUAAUUGUAUAAUUAUUUGUAUUAAAGAUUAAUUUAUAUUUUAUUUAUAUUAUUAUUAUAUUGGGGUAAUAGAGAGAUUAAAAAAAUUCUUUUUAAAAAUUAACAAUAAUUUUUGAUUUAAUGAUCCAUUUAUUAGUGAUUAAAAGAUUUAGUUACCUUAGGGAUAACAGCGUAAUUUUUUUAGAGAGUUCAUAUCGAUAAAAAAGUUUGCGACCUCGAUGUUGGAUUAAAAAUUAUUCUAGGUGUAGUAGUUUAGAAUUUUGGUCUGUUCGACCAUUAAAUUUUU
rnacentral:rRNA from 1 species